UACAGCCAUAUCAAAUUGAAUCAUCAAUUUCCAUAUGAUCACUGAAGUUAAAUGACAUUGAGCCUGGUCAGUACCUAGAUGGGUGACCGUUUGGGAAUACCAGGUGUUGUAAG